rnacentral:rRNA from 1 species
UACGUAGGGGGCAAGCGUUGUCCGGAAUCAUUGGGCGUAAAGAGCGUGUAGGCGGCCCGGUAAGUCCGCUGUAAAAGUCAAAGGCUCAACCUUUGAAUGUCAGUGGAUACUGCCGGGCUAGAGUCCGGAAGAGGCGAGUGGAACUCCUGGUGUAGCGGUGGAAUGCGCAGAUAUCAGGAAGAACACCAACGGCGAAGGCAGCUCGCUGGGACGGUACUGACGCUGAGACGCGAAAGCGUGGGGGGCGAACAGG